UACGUAGGUGGCAAGCGUUAUCCGGAAUUAUUGGGCGUAAAGCGCGCGUAGGCGGUUCGUUAAGUCUGAUGUGAAAGCCCCCGGCUCAACCGGGGAGGGUCAUUGGAAACUGGCGGACUUGAGUGCAGAAGAGGAGAGUGGAAUUCCAUGUGUAGCGGUGAAAUGCGCAGAGAUAUGGAGGAACACCAGUGGCGAAGGCGGCUCUCUGGUCUGUAACUGACGCUGAGGUGCGAAAGCGUGGGGAUCAAACAGG
rnacentral:rRNA from 1 species